GUUUCUACUAUAAUUCACAUAUUUUCAACUCGAUAUUGUAGAAAGCUCUACAAUCUAGAUAUGUGUGUCUAUCCAUGUGAGCUCCACAGCUGCCUUGUUUAUUUGAAAUACGUGAACCAAUUAACACAAAUAACUUUGAUUUCAGGAAAAAUUCAAGAAGGAAUUCAAGCAGCGUUUCACCUUUGGGAAAAAGCCAAGUAGAUUUGUUAAUGAUAGCUACGAGGAUGGACAAUCCUAUCGCACUCGGAUUUUAUCAUUCCGAUCAACAAACGACAGAAGUGGUUACUCAACCAGAAAAUCUAUAAACAUGCCGCCGGGGGAUACUUUGAAAGUUCCUUCUAGGAAUUCUUGCCAUUGUAUGGCUAGUCAGAAUCGAGAAAAUGGUUUCAAUUUAAUGAAUACUGAAGAUAUCGACGGCCAUGGCAACAGCAGGAGGUAUUUGAACAUAAGGAUGACCAACACAGACAUGGGCAAAA